AUCAACUUUCGAUGGUAGGAUAGAGGCCUACCAUGGUGGUAACGGGUAACGGGGUGUUAGGGCACGACACCGGAGAGGGAGCCUGAGAAACGGCUACCACAUCCAAGGAUGGCAGCAGGCGCGCAAAUUACCCAAUCCCGACACGGGGAGGUAGUGACAAUAAAUAACAAUACGGGGUCCUUUCGGGUUUCGUAAUUGGAAUGAGUACAAUUUAAAUCUCUUAACGAGGAACAAUUGGAGGGCAAGUCUGGUGCCAGCAGCCGCGGUAAUUCCAGCUCCAAUAGCGUAUAUUAAAGUUGUUGCAGUUAAAAAGCUCGUAGUUGAAUUUCGGGAUUAGUACGUUGGUCGUGCCUUCGGUACGUACUGGUGUUACUGAUUCCUACCUUCUGACGAACCAUCAUGUCAUUAAUUUGGUGUGGUGGGAAAUCAGGACUGUUACUUUGAAAAAAUUAGAGUGUUUAAAGCAGGCUCGCGCUUGAAUACAUUAGCAUGGAAUAAUGAAAUAGGACGUUGACCCUAUUUUGUUGGUUUCUAGGAUUGACGUAAUGAUUAAUAGGGAUAGUUGGGGGCAUUAGUAUUCAAUUGUCAGAGGUGAAAUUCUUGGAUUUAUUGAAGACUAACUACUGCGAAAGCAUUUGCCAAGGAUGUUUUUAUUAAUCAAGAACGAAAGUUAGGGGAUCGAAGACGAUCAGAUACCGUCGUAGUCUUAACCAUAAACUAUGCCGACUAGGGAUCGGAUGAUGUUAUUUUAAUGACUCAUUCGGCGCCUUACGGGAAACCAAAGUGUUUGGGUUC
rnacentral:rRNA from 1 species